GUCUAUGGCCAUACUACCCUGAACAAUCCCAAUCUUGUCUAAUCUCAGAAGCUAAGCAGGGUCACGCCUGGUUGGUACUUGGAUGGGAGACCACCUAGGAAGGUGCUGUAGGUG
rnacentral:rRNA from 1 species